GGGGAUGCUACAAUGCAGUCGAGCGGUAGCACGGGAGAGCUUGCUCUCUGGGUGACGAGCGGCGGACGGGUGAGUAAUGUCUGGGGAUCUGCCUGAUGGAGGGGGAUAACUACUGGAAACGGUAGCUAAUACCGCAUAAUGUCGCAAGACCAAAGAGGGGGACCUUCGGGCCUCUUGCCAUCAGAUGAACCCAGAUGGGAUUAGCUAGUAGGUGAGGUAAUGGCUCACCUAGGCGACGAUCCCUAGCUGGUCUGAGAGGAUGACCAGCCACACUGGAACUGAGACACGGUCCAGACUCCUACGGGAGGCAGCAGUGGGGAAUAUUGCACAAUGGGCGCAAGCCUGAUGCAGCCAUGCCGCGUGUAUGAAGAAGGCCUUCGGGUUGUAAAGUACUUUCAGCGAGGAGGAAGGCGUUAAGGUUAAUAACCUUGGCGAUUGACGUUACUCGCAGAAGAAGCACCGGCUAACUCCGUGCCAGCAGCCGCGGUAAUACGGAGGGUGCAAGCGUUAAUCGGAAUUACUGGGCGUAAAGCGCACGCAGGCGGUUUGUUAAGUCGGAUGUGAAAUCCCCGGGCUCAACCUGGGAACUGCAUUCGAAACUGGCAAGCUUGAGUCUUGUAGAGGGGGGUAGAAUUCCAGGUGUAGCGGUGAAAUGCGUAGAGAUCUGGAGGAAUACCGGUGGCGAAGGCGGCCCCCUGGACAAAGACUGACGCUCAGGUGCGAAAGCGUGGGGAGCAAACAGGAUUAGAUACCCUGGUAGUCCACGCCGUAAACGAUGUCGACUUGGAGGUUGUGCCCUUGAGGCGUGGCUUCCGGAGCUAACGCGUUAAGUCGACCGCCUGGGGAGUACGGCCGCAAGGUUAAAACUCAAAUGAAUUGACGGGGGCCCGCACAAGCGGUGGAGCAUGUGGUUUAAUUCGAUGCAACGCGAAGAACCUUACCUACUCUUGACAUCCAGAGAACUUUCCAGAGAUGGAUUGGUGCCUUCGGGAACUCUGAGACAGGUGCUGCAUGGCUGUCGUCAGCUCGUGUUGUGAAAUGUUGGGUUAAGUCCCGCAACGAGCGCAACCCUUAUCCUUUGUUGCCAGCGGUUCGGCCGGGAACUCAAAGGAGACUGCCAGUGAUAAACUGGAGGAAGGUGGGGAUGACGUCAAGUCAUCAUGGCCCUUACGAGUAGGGCUACACACGUGCUACAAUGGCGCAUACAAAGAGAAGCGACCUCGCGAGAGCAAGCGGACCUCAUAAAGUGCGUCGUAGUCCGGAUUGGAGUCUGCAACUCGACUCCAUGAAGUCGGAAUCGCUAGUAAUCGUAGAUCAGAAUGCUACGGUGAAUACGUUCCCGGGCCUUGUACACACCGCCCGUCACACCAUGGGAGUGGGUUGCAAAAGAAGUAGGUAGCUUAACCUUCGGGAGGGCGCUACCACUUGAUUC
rnacentral:rRNA from 1 species